rnacentral:rRNA from 1 species
UACGGAGGGUGCAAGCGUUACUCGGAAUCACUGGGCGUAAAGAGCGUGUAGGCGGGUUGAUAAGUUUGAAGUGAAAUCCUAUAGCUUAACUAUAGAACUGCUUUGAAAACUGUUAACCUAGAAUAUGGGAGAGGUAGAUGGAAUUUCUGGUGUAGGGGUAAAAUCCGUAGAGAUCAGAAGGAAUACCGAUUGCGAAGGCGAUCUACUGGAACAUUAUUGACGCUGAGACGCGAAAGCGUGGGUAGCAAACAGG